rnacentral:lncRNA from 1 species
UUUAUUAUUUUUAAAAAAAUCACAAAAAAAUAAAUAAGAAAAAUAAUAAAAUUAAUAAAAAGGUCCUAUCUUGGUUUAGGAAUCGAUUCAGCUGCUUAACUGCAAACUUUAAGAUGGCUUGGAAGCUCAACAACUCAGUUUGUGGCUCAAAUGGUGUAGCUCAGUAGUGUCACAGGAUAAUGGGUUGAGCGACCGAGUCAGAUCUUCAUAUAGGUUUAUGUGCGAGUCCUUCAAAUGGGUUAAAAGGAAUAAGAUUUUCUUUGCCUAAAAAUAGUGCAUUUUUACCAAUUCUAUAAAAACUUUUUUUCUAGC